UGGAUGAGCUCGGGGAAUCAGGACCCUAAAAAGAUGGUUCGUCUAGUGUCUCAGGAAUCAAUUCACAAGAAAAUGGUGCUGCUGGCACAGGCCCUGUUCCUCCUGUUCUGCAUCAGACUGGCCUGAGAGAACAAGGGCAGAGUCCUCCCCCAAGGCCUGCUUUGAGCCCCGGGGACUCUGCUGGGCUUCAGUAUCACCCUGUCACCUUUGCUGCUAGACUUCCCAAGCGUCACAGGUCAUCAGAAUCACUGGGGUACUUGGAAUUGAGAAUCUCCAGAGAUUAUGCCCAAGGAGCAGUGUAAACAAGCCCUCCUAGACACUCCAGACACACAAGUUUGUACCACACUGAUGUCACCCCAUCAGUCCCAGUGCAGCCAGAGGCUGGGGGCUGGGUAGAUGUUGAACCAGCCCUGUAGAAAGAUCCCGGGCACUCAGGACAGAUUGGUGGAGUUAUUCUAUACCUUACCUUUGCACAAGUUAAAAGGUUAACCUAAGUCUUUUAAAUAUAGUUAUUGCCUCAAAGUUAGAUUUCUGAAAGGGACAGAAUUAUAUAGCACUUGAAAUGCAGUUAUUUAAAAUUUGAGACUUACAGGGAUCCUGCAACCAUGAUUUUCUUCAUGUAAAACCAGCAUCUGUUAGGCCCUGUCACCUGUGUGGCCCAGGAGCUUGCCCUAAGAGGAAGCCCACUGAUCAAAUUCUG
rnacentral:lncRNA from 1 species